CCUACGGGUGGCAGCAGUGAGGAAUAUUGGUCAAUGGGCGCGAGCCUGAACCAGCCAAGUCGCGUGAGGGAAGACGGUCCUAUGGAUUGUAAACCUCUUUUGUCGGGGAGCAAAAGACGCCACGCGUGGCGUUCCGAGAGUACCCGAAGAAAAAGCAUCGGCUAACUCCGUGCCAGCAGCCGCGGUAAUACGGAGGAUGCGAGCGUUAUCCGGAUUUAUUGGGUUUAAAGGGUGCGCAGGCGGAAGAUCAAGUCAGCGGUAAAAUUGAGAGGCUCAACCCCUUUGAGCCGUUGAAACUGGGUGUCUUGAGUGAGUGAGAAGUAGGCGGAAUGCGUGGUGUAGCGGUGAAAUGCAUAGAUAUCACGCAGAACUCCGAUUGCGAAGGCAGCAUACCGGCGCUCAACUGACGCUCAUGCACGAAAGUGUGGGUAUCGAACAGGAUUAGAUACCCCAGUAGUC
rnacentral:rRNA from 1 species